AUUGAACGCUGGCGGCAUGCCUUACACAUGCAAGUCGAACGGCAGCACGGGUGCUUGCACCUGGUGGCGAGUGGCGAACGGGUGAGUAAUACAUCGGAACAUGUCCUGUAGUGGGGGAUAGCCCGGCGAAAGCCGGAUUAAUACCGCAUACGAUCCACGGAUGAAAGCGGGGGACCUUCGGGCCUCGCGCUAUAGGGUUGGCCGCUGGCUGAUUAGCUAGUUGGUGGGGUAAAGGCCUACCAAGGCGACGAUCAGUAGCUGGUCUGAGAGGACGACCAGCCACACUGGGACUGAGACACGGCCCAGACUCCUACGGGAGGCAGCAGUGGGGAAUUUUGGACAAUGGGCGAAAGCCUGAUCCAGCAAUGCCGCGUGUGUGAAGAAGGCCUUCGGGUUGUAAAGCACUUUUGUCCGGAAAGAAAUCCUUGACUCUAAUACAGUCGGGGGAUGACGGUACCGGAAGAAUAAGCACCGGCUAACUACGU
rnacentral:rRNA from 1 species